CGGAUUGUAGUCUGCAACCCGACUACAUGAAGCUGGAAUCGCUAGUAAUCGCGAAUCAGAAUGUCGCGGUGAAUACGUUCCCGGGUCUUGUACACACCGCCCGUCACACCAUGGGAGUCGGAAAUGCCCGAAGUCAGUGACCUAACUGAAAGGGAGGAGCUGCCGAAGGUGGAGCCGGUAACUGGGGUGAAGUCGUAACAAGGUAUC
rnacentral:rRNA from 1 species